UACGCGAAGAACCUUACCAAGGCUUGACAUAUACCGGAAACAUGCAGAGAUGUGUGCCCCGCAAGGUCGGUAUACAGGUGGUGCAUGGUUGUCGUCAGCUCGUGUCGUGAGAUGUUGGGUUAAGUCCCGCAACGAGCGCAACCCUCGUUCUAUGUUGCCAGCACGUAAUGGUGGGAACUCAUAGGAGACUGCCGGGGUCAACUCGGAGGAAGGUGGGGAUGACGUCAAAUCAUCAUGCCCCUUAUGUCUUGGGCUUCACGCAUGCUACAAUGGCCGGUACAAAGGGCUGCGAUACCGUAAGGUGGAGCGAAUCCCAAAAAGCCGGUCUCAGUUCGGAUUGAGGUCUGCAACUCGACCUCAUGAAGUCGGAGUCGCUAGUAAUCGCAGAUCAGCAACGCUGCGGUGAAUACGUUCCCGGGCCUUGUACACACC
rnacentral:rRNA from 1 species